rnacentral:lncRNA from 1 species
AGGGUGCACAAAGUAAACAAUAACAGAAAUAACAAAUCAAUUAACAAAAACAUUGAUUUAAUCAUGGUCAACGUAUUAAUUUAUGAGCUUCAACCAAUUCCUAUCCCAUGGUAUCCAUACAAAGACUCACUGUUACGUGUUUUCUAACCAUUGGAGUGGGUGGGAAAAUGGUAGUAAUGAUAAUUAAUUUACCUCUUACCUUUUUAAACUCAUCUUUUGACCAGUAUCAAUUGCUNCUAAAGUUCUUUGCAAGUCUAAGGACAACAAAUUGACCCUACAACAGAAGAAGCUUAAAUACAUUCCUUCAGCCAUGAUACACCUUAACUUCUUACAAUCCUUGAAAAGCAAACAGAGAAACAGGAAUACAGUGUACAUGAGAACAACUUUGAAAAUGGUGAUGUGCAUUCUUUCUCAUCAACUCAUAUCUGGUGCUUGUGCUAUUUCUGAACAGUGUUUAGGUAAAAACAGUCGUCUAUUAGGCAGAUAUUUUCCUGCAAAUGAGCUGUACAAGCCAGCAUCUGGGUUUUGAAGAUAAACAGAAAGUACUUAAGAGAUUUGAUCAAAGGUUACUAAAGCUG